rnacentral:rRNA from 1 species
GACCAAGGGUUCCUGUCCAACGUUAAUCGGGGCAGGGUGAGUCGACCCCUAAGGCGAGGCCGAAAGGCGUAGUCGAUGGGAAACAGGUUAAUAUUCCUGUACUUGGUGUUACUGCGAAGGGGGGACGGAGAAGGCUAUGUUAGCCGGGCGACGGUUGUCCCGGUUUAAGCAUGUAGGCUGAUUGUCCAGGCAAAUCCGGAUAAUCAAGGCUGAGGUGUGAUGACGAGGCACUACGGUGCUGAAGUAACAAAUGCCCUGCUUCCAGGAAAAGCCUCUAAGCAUCAGGUAACAUUAAAUCGUACCCCAAACCGACACAGGUGGUCAGGUAGAGAAUACCAAGGCGCUUGAGAGAACUCGGGUGAAGGAACUAGGCAAAAUGGUGCCGUAACUUCGGGAGAAGGCACGCUGGUGUGUAGGUGAAGUCCCUGCGGAUGGAGCUGAGACCAGUCGAAGAUACCAGCUGGCUGCAACUGUUUAUUAAAAACACAGCACUGUGCAAACACGAAAGUGGACGUAUACGGUGUGACGCCUGCCCGGUGCCGGAAGGUUAAUUGAUGGGGUUAUCCGUAAGGAGAAGCUCUUGAUCGAAGCCCCGGUAAACGGCGGCCGUAACUAUAACGGUCCUAAGGUAGCGAAAUUCCUUGUCGGGUAAGUUCCGACCUGCACGAAUGGCGUAAUGAUGGCCAGGCUGUCUCCACCCGAGACUCAGUGAAAUUGAACUCGCUGUGAAGAUGCAGUGUACCCGCGGCAAGACGGAAAGACCCCGUGAACCUUUACUAUAGCUUGACACUGAACAUUGAGCCUUGAUGUGUAGGAUAGGUGGGAGGCUUUGAAGCGUGGACGCCAGUCUGCGUGGAGCCAACCUUGAAAUACCACCCUUUAAUGUUUGAUGUUCUAACGUUGGCCCCUGACCGGGGUUGCGGACAGUGUCUGGUGGGUAGUUUGACUGGGGCGGUCUCCUCCCAAAGCGUAACGGAGGAGCACGAAGGUUAGCUAAUCCUGGUCGGACAUCAGGAGGUUAGUGCAAUGGCAUAAGCUAGCUUGACUGCGAGCGUGACGGCGCGAGCAGGUGCGAAAGCAGGUCAUAGUGAUCCGGUGGUUCUGAAUGGAAGGGCCAUCGCUCAACGGAUAAAAGGUACUCCGGGGAUAACAGGCUGAUACCGCCCAAGAGUUCAUAUCGACGGCGGUGUUUGGCACCUCGAUGUCGGCUCAUCACAUCCUGGGGCUGAAGUAGGUCCCAAGGGUAUGGCUGUUCGCCAUUUAAAGUGGUACGCGAGCUGGGUUUAGAACGUCGUGAGACAGUUCGGUCCCUAUCUGCCGUGGGCGCUGGAGAAUUGAGGGGGGCUGCUCCUAGUACGAGAGGACCGGAGUGGACGCAUCACUGGUGUUCGGGUUGUCAUGCCAAUGGCACUGCCCGGUAGCUAAAUGCGGAAGAGAUAAGUGCUGAAAGCAUCUAAGCACGAAACUUGCCCCGAGAUGAGUUCUCCCUGAGACUUUAAGUCUCCUGAAGGAACGUUAAAGACGAUGACGUUGAUAGGCCGGGUGUGUAAGCGCAGCGAUGCGUUGAGCUAACCGGUACUAAUGAACCGUGAGGCUUAACCUU